UUUGACACUGGUUGUAGGUCUUAUAAUAUCUAUGUAAACAAGCCGACCCCGCGUAGCUUACCCCGCAUAUGCAGAAGUAAACGUUUUCUGAAUACGGGUAAACAAGUAUCUAACAUCUUGUUUGGUUUACAGAAUCUUUUGUACUGUGAUUUCAAGUUUCAACGGGUCACUAAAGACUGCAUUAGGAUUAUUAAAGCUCGUGGUGUGGUGGAUUGAAAAACCAUUAAGUGUGGCAAAUUUAAUAUAUCAUUAAGGGACUGUUGUUUUUAAAAUAUUGAAACAAAAAGAAAUACCGUACCCUGUGUACAAUGAGAGGGCUCAUGGCUAGAGGUGUAACAGUUAUUAUAUACUUCCAUCCAUCAGCCCAAACAUUAAACAUAAUUCAAACCAUUCUUACUGAGGCGGGUGACCCCGUUUCACUAGCACCACCUUCCAAGGUCUGGUGAUACGU